UUUGGUAAACAGAGUUUUAGGCAUGUUUUAGAAUAUUUGGGCACAAAUGGAGGAUUGGAUAGUAAGUGUUCUGGGUGUGUGGAUGAGGUCUUAGGUUGAGUGGGGGAGUUAGGAUUUAGUAUGGUUUUGUUUUAAAUUAAAUUAUUUUUUUAUUAUGUUUUUUUUCUCUCUCCUCAAAAAUCUCGCGUUUCUUUUCGAGUGUUCUUCUUCUUCUCAAAAAGAAAGAAAUCCCCAUUAUUGUGUCUCUCUUUUUCUUUGUUCUCUGACAAGAAAAUUAAACUCCUUCCUCUACUUUUUGUUUUUGUCACUAAUCCUUACUCUUGGGUGUUUUGAAUCCUUAGUUUUUUGUGUAA
rnacentral:lncRNA from 1 species